AGCUCAAUUAGACCAAAGCCGAUCCAAUACAAGAAGAUGUAUUAUUUAUUAAUUAAAACUAACUUUUUUUUUUGCAGAAGUAGAGAGCACACAAGGAUGAGACAUUGGAAGCCUUUGCAAGAAGGUGAUAUACUCAAUGUUGAUAUAACAGUCUAUCUUAAUGGCUAUCUCGGUGAUUGCUCAUGUUUCAAGUUGGUGAGGAAGCUAUUCAACUUCUGUAUAAAGUAAUGCAAGUUCUUUUUUACAGAGACGCAAGAUCUUUCCCAAAGUAUCAUCUUGCCAUUAUCACGAAAGAAAAAGAAGUU
rnacentral:lncRNA from 13 species